AAUAGCUCGAAGGCGAGUUCUGAGUUAGGGUAUGCAGGGGGAGAUAGUACCUCAAUUUUGUUCUGGCUCAUGAGAGUUUAGCAUGUAGCUUGAAAAGGGGUUUGUAUAUGGCUUCUCGGUGGCUUCUUGUCGUCUCUCAUCACUACGGAUCUUCUCUGAUUGGUUCUCUCUAGAUUCCUCCAAAAGACGGUAACAAUCUUAUCUUUGGAGUAUGGCUUUUAGUUUACUAUGUUCCCCUCUCUUUGUUGAAUCUGAAAGUGGCUAUUUCGGUCACAAUCAAUUGCUUUUUGAGUCUUAAUAGGCAGCAAAUGUCAUUGCGGUAUUGGGCGUUUGCUUAACGUUGCUUGGUUUCAUUAUUUGUUUGGAUCUCACAAUGCUUGAGAUAUUUUCUUGUUCAUCUUUGGUAAUAUAUAUCGGCCUGUUUUUGUGCAGGUUAUGAGACAUGCUAUAGCAGAGUCUAGUGGCGACUUCAAGCCUGCUUCUUAUUUUUCUUCGAUGAUGAAGGCGAAUUUACAACUAGAAUUUCCGGCGGAUUACUCAG
rnacentral:lncRNA from 1 species